UCCCAGAAAGAGUCUCCUAUAAUUGGUAAA
rnacentral:piRNA from 1 species